rnacentral:lncRNA from 1 species
GUAAAAUCAAAGAAACUGUAAUGUUGUAGAUAUUUGGACCAUUUUCCUGUAGAAAUGUGAACACGUCAAUAAUUUGAGAUGAUAUUUAAGUGGAUGAUGUUUGUGUUUGGAUGGAUUAGAUGAAGCUCUGCUGCUUGGAGAGCUUUUUCCUCAGGAUCAGCCAAAGCCAGAAACCACGGGGAACCUUACAUCACUGAGGUCAAAGGUAAAGGUCAUGCAGCGAAGGAGCCCUAAAGAAGACUGUCCCAGUGAUUUUGAGCUGAUGUCCAGUAUGAUGAAGAGACUGGGCCAGUUAGAGAAGAAGGUCAAGACUCAGGCUCUGGACAUCAACAGCAAGGUGUGGCUUUAUGUUUAUAGAUUCAUCAUUAAGUGGUCUCUUAUUUUUCUAAAGCUACACAUACUCAACAGUAAAGUUACGAUAUAAUGUGUUUAUGCAUUUUUUAAUUUAAUCCAAUGUGUUUAUCUCUAUAAGAUGAAAAGAAUAGCAGUUCUGGAGGAGAAACUUCAACUCCUGCAAGGUAAAAUCCUGUUAGCAACACCACAUCAACCACCUGAGAUCCCAUAGUAAGCAAUAAGCAACACCGCAGC